rnacentral:rRNA from 1 species
UACGCAGGCGGGCAAUUAAGUCAGAGGUGAAAUCCCACAGCUCAACUGUGGAACUGCCUUUGAUACUGGUUGUCUUGAGUUACAGUGAAGUAGAUAGAAUAUGUAGUGUAGCGGUGAAAUGCAUAGAUAUUACAUAGAAUACCGAUUGCGAAGGCAGUCUACUAACUGUAUACUGACGCUAAUGGACGAAAGCGUGGGGAGCGAACAGGAUUAGAUACCCUGGUAGUCC